rnacentral:rRNA from 1 species
AUGGGGCGGAGGAGCCGGCUCCUCCAUGGCGCCGCGCUCUCGCUGCUGCUGCUCGCGGCGGCCGCCCAUGCUCAGCAGACCGAUCCAGGCGACGCGGCGGCGCUGAACGCGGUGUUCGCCAAGCUCGGCCAGAAGGCGCUGCCGUCAUGGAACAUCAGCGGCGACCCCUGCACCGGCGCCGCCACGGACAACACCAACAUCGACAACAACCCGCCCUUCAACCCGGCCAUCAAGUGCGAGUGCACCGGCGGCAACGCCUCCGUCUGCCGCGUCACCAGGCUGAAAAUAUACGCGCUGGAUGCAGUCGGCUCGAUACCAGAGGAGCUGCGGAACCUCACGGCCCUGACCAAUUUGGAUCUAUCGCAAAAUUACUUAACAGGGCCUUUACCAUCGUUUAUCGGGGAGUUGACUCGUAUGCAGUACAUGUCUUUUGGCAUCAAUGCGUUAUCUGGACCUUUGCCAAAAGAGCUCGGGAACCUUACGGAUCUUGUCUCACUGAGCGUUAGCUCAAACAAUUUCAGUGGCUCGCUUCCUUCGGAAUUGGGGAACCUGGCCAAACUUGAGCAAUUGUACAUAGACAGUGCUGGCUUUAGUGGUCCACUACCAUCAACGCUUUCCAAACUUACAAAAAUGAAAACAUUGUGGGCAUCAGAUAAUGAUUUUACUGGGCAAAUACCAGAUUAUAUAGGGAGCUGGAAUCUAACAGAUUUGAGGUUUCAGGGCAAUUCGUUUCAAGGUCCGCUCCCAGCGACUCUGUCCAAUCUUGUCCAACUCACAAGCUUACGAAUCGGUGAUAUAGUAAACGGAAGUUCUUCUUCGCUGGCAUUCAUCAGUAACAUGACAUCUUUGAACACCCUGGUUUUGAGGAACUGUAGGAUAUCUGAUACACUUUUAUCAGUAAACUUUUCGAAGUUCACGAGUUUAAACUUAUUGGAUUUGAGUUUUAACAAUAUAACAGGCCAAGUACCACAAACCUUGUUGAAUCUGAAUUCACUCGGCUUCUUAUUUCUUGGAAACAAUAGCCUUUCGGGAAGCCUUCCAAGCUCAGUAGGACCUAUGCUUAAAAAUUUAGAUUUUUCUUACAACCAGCUCACAGGAAGUGUUCCUUCUUGGGCUAGAAAUUCGCAACUGAAUUUAGUGGCAAAUAAUUUUGGGGCCGAUAUAUCAAGUAACAGUGCCUUACCUACGGGGUUGGACUGCCUUCAGCGAAAUACACCUUGUUUUCUUGGAUCUCCUAAAUCUUCUUCAUUUGCUGUGGACUGUGGUAGUGAUCGACCCAUAUCAGGCUCGGAUAAUUCUCUGUAUCAACCUGAUGCUGCCACUCUUGGAGCUGCAUCAUAUUAUGUUACAGGAGAACCCACAUGGGGUGCUAGCAACGUUGGAAGAUUCAUGGAUGCGUCAAACGUUAGUUCUAUAAUCUACAGCUCACACCAGUUUCUGAAUACACUUGAUACAGAAUUGUUCCGGAAUGCAAGGAUGUCGCCAUCAUCCUUGAGAUACUAUGGUAUUGGCCUUGAAAAUGGAAACUACACAGUUACGCUUCAAUUUGCAGAGUUUGCCUUCCCAGAUGCUCAGUCCUGGAAGAGCAGAGGGAGAAGGGUUUUUGAUAUAUAUGUCCAGGGCGAGCGUAAGGAGCAGAACUUUGACAUAAGAAAAGUGGCAGGCGGGAAAUCUUACACUGCUGUUAGGAAGCAGUACACAGUUCCUGUCACCAAGAACUUUCUUGAGAUUCAUCUCUUCUGGGCUGGCAAGGGCACUUGCUGCAUUCCUGAUCAAGGCUACUACGGGCCUGCAAUAUCAGCUUUGAGUGCAACACCAAAUUUCACCCCUACAGUGCGCAGUGCUGCGGCAAAGAAGAAUGGUAGUAAAACAGGUGUGAUUGCGGGAGUUGUAGUUGGUGUAGCAGUUUUAGGAUUGGUAGUACUUGCCGGAAUCUUUCUUUGGAGGCGCAGACAGAAAAGGAGAAAACUAUCGUUGGAGCAAGAAGAGCUGUACAGUAUUGUUGGAAGACCUAAUGUCCUCAGUUAUGGUGAACUGAGGUCAGCUACUGAUAAUUUCAGUCCUAAUAACCUUCUUGGUCAAGGAGGAUAUGGGUCGGUCUAUAAGGGGAAGUUAACUGAUGGUAGGUUCGUGGCAGUGAAGCAGCUGUCUGAAGCAUCUCAUCAGGGAAAAAAGGAAUUUGCAACGGAAAUAGAAACUAUAUCUCGAGUGCAACACCGUAAUCUCGUGAAGUUGUAUGGUUGCUGCCUUGAGGGCAAUAAGCCACUGCUGGUUUAUGAGUGCCUGGAGAAUGGAAGCCUGGACCAUGCUCUGUUUGGCAAAGGGAAGUCAAGCCUAGACUGGCCAACACGUUUUGAGAUAUGCUUAGGCGUUGCAAGAGGUCUGUCCUAUCUUCAUGAAGAAUCUAGCAUCCGUGUUGUGCACAGGGACAUAAAGGCCAGCAAUAUCUUACUUGACGCCAAUCUCAAUCCUAAGAUCUCGGAUUUCGGGCUGGCUAAACUUUAUGAUGACCAGAAGACGCAUGUCAGCACGAAAGUUGCUGGUACAUUUGGUUAUCUCGCACCUGAGUAUGCCAUGAGGGGCCAUAUGACAGAGAAGAUCGACGUGUUUGCUUUCGGCGUCGUGGUAUUGGAGACUUUAGCUGGGAGACCAAACUACAGCACGGAGGAUGAGAACAAGGUCUAUAUUUUCGAAUGGGUGUGGGAACUGUACGAGAACAACCACCCGUUGGACAUGGUGGACCAGAGGCUGGAAGAGUUUGACAGCGAGGAGGCGCUCCGGGCCAUCAAGGUGGCGCUGCUCUGCACCCAGGGCUCGCCCCACCAGCGUCCCUCCAUGUCGAGGGUGGUGGCGAUGCUGACGGGCGACGUCGAGGCGCCCGACGUGGUGACCAAGCCGAGCUACAUCACCGAGUGGCAGAUCACGGGGGGCAACACCACCUACAUGAGCACCGACGUCAGCGGGCAGCCGAGCUCAGCGCCGAGGGCCAACUCGCCGUCGUCCCGCACCUCGUCGCCGUUCCUGAGCUCCGUCAUCGACGAAGGCCGUUGA